rnacentral:tRNA from 1 species
GGGGUUGUAACUCAGUGAUAGAGCGCUCACCUAGCAUGUGUGAGGCCCUGGGUUUGAUCCUCAGCACCACA